UUUAUUAUUCACUAAGUUAUAAAAUAGACAAUGAUAUCACUUCGGAGAUAAGUAUACCGGUGGUGGAGAACUACAUUUUUACGUCAUCUACUUCCUACUAAAUAAACAACAAAACUCGCAGAACUACACUUCCACAGAUAGAAACAAACAGCGAAAAUGAAUUAAUUUUCACCCCAACUCCACUUCAACCCAAAAUCCACUUUCACCUCAAGUCUACUUAUGUUGAAACAAAUAUGCCCAUAAUAUCCGUAUAAAUCACGUAUCCGAAUAAUUACCGAAUCUCUUUUUUAGUUUAAAAAUUAGAAGAUGAAUUUUAUCCGAAUUAUACCCAUACCGAAUUUUUGCCGAAUCCGAAUUAACUAACUAUGGGUCGAAUAUCUAUUAACAUAUAUGAUUCCGCAAUAGUUUUGCCACGUGGCAAUUUUUUUUCACUCUUAUUAAAAUCUUUACACUUUUUUCUUUUUUGUAACCGCUUUGUAUUUUAGGAUGCUCUUACAAAUAUUAAUAAGUGAAAGUAAUAAUAAACAUUUAAAUAACAACAG
rnacentral:lncRNA from 1 species